rnacentral:rRNA from 1 species
GUCGAGGGGCAGCGAUGGUAGCAAUACCUGUCGGCGACCGGCGCACGGGUGAGUAACGCGUAUGUAACCUGCCCGCAACAGAGGGAUAACCCGGCGAAAGUCGGACUAAUACCUCAUAAAACAGGGGUUCCGCAUGGGGCUAUUUGUUAAAGAUUUAUUGGUUGCGGAUGGGCAUGCGUACCAUUAGGUAGUUGGUGAGGUAACGGCUCACCAAGCCAUCGAUGGUUAGGGGUUCUGAGAGGAAGGUCCCCCACACUGGUACUGAGACACGGACCAGACUCCUACGGGAGGCAGCAGUGAGGAAUAUUGGUCAAUGGGCGAGAGCCUGAACCAGCCAAGUCGCGUGAAGGAUGACUGCCCUAUGGGUUGUAAACUUCUUUUACAGGGGAAUAAAAUGAGAUACGUGUAUUUUAUUGCA